UACGUAGGGGGCAAGCGUUGUCCGGAAUUAUUGGGCGUAAAGCGCGCGCAGGCGGCUAUUUAAGUCUCAUGUUUAAAGCCAAGGCUCAACCUUGGAUCGCAUGGGAAACUGGGUGGCUUGAGUGUAGGAGAGGAAAGUGGAAUUCCACGUGUAGCGGUGAAAUGCGUAGAUAUGUGGAGGAACACCAGUGGCGAAGGCGACUUUCUGGUCUGUAACUGACACUGAGGCGCGAAAGCGUGGGGAGCAAACAGG
rnacentral:rRNA from 1 species